UGCGACGGUGAGUACGCGUGGAACGUGCCUUUCACUACGGAAUAGCUUUUGGAAACGAAAGGUAAUACCGUAUACGCCCUCCGGGGGAAAGAUUUAUCGGUGAAAGAUCGGUCCGCGUUAGAUUAGCUAGUUGGUGAGGUAACGGCUCACCAAGGCUACGAUCUAUAGCUGGUCUGAGAGGAUGAUCAGCCACACUGGGACUGAGACACGGCCCAGACUCCUACGGGAGGCAGCAGUGGGGAAUAUUGCACAAUGGGCGCAAGCCUGAUGCAGCCAUGCCGCGUGAAUGAUGAAGGCCUUAGGGUUGUAAAAUUCUUUCGCCAAGGAUGAUAAUGACAGUACUUGGUAAAGAAGCCCCGGCUAACUUCGUGCCAGCAGCCGCGGUAAUACGAAGGGGGCUAGCGUUGUUCGGAAUUACUGGGCGUAAAGCGCACGUAGGCGGACUUUUAAGUCAGAUGUGAAAUCCCGAGGCUCAACCUCGGAACUGCAUUUGAAACUGGGAGUCUAGAGAUCAGGAGAGGUUAGCGGAAUACCGAGUGUAGAGGUGAAAUUCGUAGAUAUUCGGUGGAACACCAGUGGCGAAGGCGGCUAACUGGACUGAUACUGACGCUGAGGUGCGAAAGUGUGGGGAGCAAACAGGAUUAGAUACCCUGGUAGUCCACACCGUAAACGAUGAGUGCUAGUUGUCUGCAGGCAUGCCUGUAGGUGACGCAGCUAACGCACUAAGCACUCCGCCUGGGGAGUACGGCCGCAAGGUUAAAACUCAAAGAAAUUGACGGGGGCCCGCACAAGCGGUGGAGCAUG
rnacentral:rRNA from 1 species